GAAAGACCCCUGAUUGCAGGGCUUCCCGAUCCAGUGGGGAAGGCAAGCCUGGCCAUGAGUGAUUUAACGCCAUGUAGCAGGUAUAAAUUUUUAAUACAAUCCAUGUCAUAAUCCUUUACUCUUCUAGAUCAAAUUUUAUCUGCUGUGAGUCUCCAUCUGCCUGUUUGAUGGGAAAUUAAAUCUUAAUCAUUACUGGGGUUCCUUCCCUACUCUGUGAGAUCAUAGACAAAUCCUACGCUCACAUGGUGCCUCAAACCAGGGAGGGGCCAGGGCCAGGGCUUUGGGCUAUGGUGUUUUUCUGUUUUCACAUUUACCUUUUUGCCUAUAAAGUGACCUUGUAGAGAGUGAUCCCGGCCCUCUGUCUCCAAGUCCUGGAUGAUCUGGGGCAAGUCACAGAGAUGCCCCUUCCAUACCUCCCCCAGUGACUGCAGCCUGUCACCCAACAGCCCCCAGUACCCGAUCUGCACCCAUCCAUGGUGCUGCCUCUAAGUGAGGCCACUGGCCUCUCACCUUAACUCCCGUCUCAAAGGACACUUAACUCUCCUCAAGGCAGUGGCUUCUCCUUCUCCCCUCUCCACGUUCGUAUCCAUGCCUCCUCUGAAGCAACUCCUGCUUGGUCUUCCUCAGUGGGUCUGAAAUAUAAAUUGUGUGUGUGUGUGUGUCUGUGUGCACGUGUGUGCAUGGGUGUGUGUGUAAAGAUCAGCUGCGAUCUUAAAAAAAAAGCAGCAUUGUCUCCUUUAUCCUUAGGUGGAUGUGGGGAAAACAAUGUUCACACCAGCCACUUUCUUUCUCUAUAAUUUGCCCAGUUACACCAGGUAGACAAGGGUAAACGCUAUAACGGGACUAGAAGCAAAGUGCCUGGGAAUAUCAAGGGUGAGAGAGAUUACUUCGAACAUAGAGGAGUCAGGGAGGGCUCCAAGGAAGAGGUGAGAGUUGAUCACAGUUGUGAAGGAUGAGAGAAGUUUGCUCUGUAGGCAAAGUCAAUUCAAGUAGAGAGGAAAGCUUGAGCCAGGCCUGCAGUGGGGGGAGAUGGGGCCAGGGAGAGAACAUUUGGUUUGUGUGUGGGUGAGCAGGGAGGCUAGGGAGGAGGAAGCGGGGCUGCGGUUUAGAUGCGUGGAAGAGGGGUUGGUGGCUGUUGUGUGGGGUGCUCAGCAGCAUGAAACAUAACAUAGCUAUAUCAAGCACUGAAGCUCAUCCUUGGCAGUUCUCAAGUAGUGGAAAUAAUUUAGCUUAUAAAACUGGAUAUGUGGGUGGCACUGAAAACAGGAAUACUUUCCUGGAACACUGCCACGAAAAUGCUUGUCCACCAGAUACCAGUAAAAAAUCCAGGCUGUUGUAGCCAAACAAAUACUUGGAUAACUUUAUCCUAAGUGUGCUCCUUUAUGUUAACUACCAAUACCUAACUCUCCAUUGCACUAAGGGUCUGGGGCGGCAGGCAGCACUGAGACCCCUCCCAGCGCCCUAAUCCCUGCCUUCUCCCCCGCACCUCUUCCUCUGUGGUGCAGGUACUGAUGUCCAGCUCCCACCCAUUAGACCCGGGCAAUCCUGGGGGAGGAGGACCAAUCUCUCAGAGGGCAGAGGCCAACAGAAGCCCCUGGGGUUACAUUUGACCAGGGAGGCUGGCAGUUGGAGGCAGGCUUGCUGGAAGGAGAACCCCAGGAUACGGUAGUGGGAAAAUCACCAACAGUGGGCUGGGAACAGUUGGGAACAGACAACAAAACAAGCAAGCAAUUCAUUUAGAGGCAAAGUGAAGUGAGAGUAAGUCAGUCCAGGAAUGGGGUAAGGUAUGUGGUUCAGAACCAAGGUUUAACCAGCAGGGGCGUCCUAAAUUCCUUAGUUACAUGGUAUAUAUAUAUGUAUAGCUGCUUGGUAUAUAUGGGCCUGGUGGCCGUGGGGCCUUUCAGAGACUGUGGACCUUGCUUGCUAAUGAGGGAAUGGAGUUGGCUGGUCUGAACUUCAACUUCCCCUAGGAUCUGAACCCACUUAGCUAGAGAAGGGAAACAUCAGCUUCCCUGUUCCACUCUUCCUUGGUGAAAAGGAGCCUGGGGGUCUGUUAAGAGAGUAGCAGGGGGCCGGUCCGGUGGGGUGGCGCAGCGGUUAAGUUCACACAGUCUGCUUCUCGGCAGCCCGGGGUUCACCGGUUCGGAUCCUGGGUGUGAACAUGGCACCACUUGGCACUCCAUGCUGUGGUAGGUGUCCCACACAUAAAGUAGAGGAAGAUGGGCAUGGAUGUUAGCUCAGGGCCAGUCUUCCUCAACAAAAAGAGGAGGAUUGGCAAUAGUUAGCUCAGGGCUAAUCUUCCUCAAAAAGAAAAAAAGAGAGAGAGAGUAGUGGGACAGCUACAGAGGAUCCCAAAUCCAAACUGUCGGGCAGCCUUUUAUGCCUUGGUUCUCUGCAUUCCCAAGUUGUCAGGCUUUGGGAACUGUCUGUUAAGGAUCUGUCACUUGCAAAAGAUGUAUCUCCCAAAUUAAGAUUUUAACUAGAUUUCAUUCUGGGAAUUGAGCAAGAAUUGGCAAUAAUUUAGCUUAUAGAACUGUAGUUUAAUGAAAGUAUAAGACAAUAGGCCUGGAAGAGGCUUUUUACUAUCCUGAGAUGAGAGUUUCUAUGGGCUGUUCUGACAGAUUUACUGUUGUUUUAACUUAAUAAGCUAUUUCUGUUUUAGCGUUGUUAUUGUUUCUGUGGUUAUAGGACACUCUGUAUUGUUUUAUUGUAUUAUCCCUCCCCCUCAGUUUUAUGGUGGCAUUUUUCUCUUUGCUUAGCUUGUACAUAAACACAUUUCCUCUGAUCGUCUCAACACUUCCAGGCACAUGUAGAAAGAGAGCACUUUCUCAGUCCGUAGGGUGAAAUUUGCCCCAGCCCAUCCUUCCCUUCUUCCUUCCCUCAUAAGUGCAGGCUCAUUUUGAGUCGAUACCCUCCCCCCAAAUUAUUUUUAUUUCUUUCCUCAAGCCAUCUAAAUAGAAAUAACAUUUAUAAGGUCUUAUGCUUAUAAAGCAUGUUUAGCUUUAAAAAUCUGUUGUCUCGUGUGAUCUUUGUGACCCCUGGGCAGCGGACCGUGUGGAGGAUGGGGAUGUAUUACUGUCUCCCUUUUACGCAUGGGGAAGCAGAGCCCUGAGAAGGUAAAUGCGCAGUCGAGGAUUGCUUAGCAGGUCAGUGGCAGAACCUGGAACAGAACUCAGGCUUCCUGGCCAGUGGUUGAGGCACUUCCCAGGGUAGAAUGGCUGGGUCGAGGCAGAAGGAGUUGAUCCAGGUGAUAGCCUGGUGGCCAUGGAAUAUUCCAUCACUGGUUCCAUUACCAGCUCAACAGAUAUAGAUCCUUAGCCUCCUCUUUUUUUCUCUUCAUAUUCUCCAAGGGAGAAAUUGCAGCUGGGGAUAAAAAACAAAUUUAAGUCUGUCUCCUUCACUGUCACUGGGCAGAGCUCAUCAACAUUUGAUGGGCAACAAAGUGGUCAAAAUUAGGUAGGAAAGUUAUAAUGUUCAACUAGUACUGGCUUGAGGGAAAAUCUCAAAUCAAGUAGGGGAAGGAAUGGAAGAGAAGCAAUACCCAUGUCAGUUAAUUCCUUUAACAAUCCUGCAAGGUAGGUGAGUCCCAACUUGCAAAAGAGAAAUCUGGGGUUCACAGAUAGUUAGGGACAUCUUUGGGAUCAAGCAGCUAAACAUGUGGCAGUGUAGGGUUCAAAUCUUUCUCCAAAGGCUAUGAUCUUGGGCCCCUGUCUGCCUCUAUUUCUGCCUUUUCUCCUUCUCAGGUACCCAGGAGCCCGUAUCUCUAGUUGGAGUGCCCAUUCUCUCCCAGGACUAGGGGUUAAACAUUUAGCAACAUCUGAUUAGAGUAAAAAUCUCUUAGAGAUAAAGGGCCAACAAACCCAAACAUUUUGGCUGUAUUGGAUUUUAAAGAAGGUUAAGUCAAUUAAUCUCUUAGAUUAAUCUCUUUUCAGAAGACAAUCUGGGAUGGGAAAAAAUGAAAUGACUUCCUGCAGCUUCAGGCAGCCAAUCAGGCUGGGACUCCAGUCCUCAUCAAUCAGCGUCUGUCAGCUUCUGGCUCCUCAGAUAUAAUGUAAAGAUCUUUUCUAAUUCUAACAGUCUGUGUUCCUAGGAUUGAAAUCACCCAAGUUGGCCUCUAGCUGGGCCCCUGUGCUCCAUUCAGGAAGGGCAUGCAGCAAGCCUGUGCUGCUCCUCUACAGAUUCUCUAUUUGCUGCAGCUGGUCCUUACCCAGUUCGCCUCCUCUUUCCUGUGGGUAGCCUCAGUCACAGCCCCUUGAGAAUUUCCUGCCCCACAGUCCUUGACCCAGCUGGAAAUCCAGAGUUUGGGGGAGAAGGGCCCUGCCACCUAUCAGGGUUCACGUUCUCUACUAUGUCUCUUUUUGUUUUCCCCUCCCUCUGUACCCCUUAAUCUUAAGAUUUCUGGGAUUUGAGUUUCAGAAUGAUAGGGAGAGAUUGCUUUUCCUAAAGGCUGGACAUGCUUGUCGACCUGAAAAGAUCCAGUUUACCUCUCUGGUUUAUUGAGGCUUAUAUAGCAUCAACUUUCUUCCUCUCUUCCUUCUUUUCCUCUUGUUCCCUUCCCUUUCUUUCCCUUCCCGCCAUCCCUUUCUUCUCUUUUUUUCAUUCAUUCAUGUGGUUCUUAUUGAGAAUUUUCCUUUGAGACCCCUACCAGAGGGAAUGUCAAACAGGAUGGAUAAUGAAGGUUGUCCAAGGAGUCAUUCUGAUAUUUUUAGGGUCUGUGCCCAGCAUGAUUCAGAAGUGCCAGAACUGCUAACUUGGGGUUGAACUUCUUGAUUUCUUAUAUUCCAGGAGAGUAUUUUACCAUUAUUAUUAGCAUUCUUCUUUUCCGGUUCUCUCAGCAUCAGCAUUCCUAGCUCUCGAUGACUAUCUGAUUUAUCACCAAUAUUUUAACUUUAGCCAAUUCUGCUAUUUGUUUUGAGCCUCAAGUCAGCAUCCCAAGUCUCAGCAUCAUAAUUCUGAGAGGAGAAGGUAUAGGGCAUGCGCCCAGGAUCCAAUAUGGCUAGUUACAACUCACAGUAAUUAUUCUGUAAGCACUGGAUUGAAUUUGCCCUAAAAAACAGCCGCCAAGGCCAAGGACAAGAUAGGUUUUGGGCAAUGAUUAUGGGUCCCAGACAAUAAGGAGCUGCCAAAAAUUUUGAGGAGGGGACAGAUAUAGUCAAUGUAUUAUGAAGUAUUUGCUGAGCUCUUGAGAAACUUCAGGUCAGCGACUGUGUUUUAUUCGUCUGUGAAUCCCUAAUGCAGAGCUCAGCACCGAGCAUACAGAGGCAGGAAUACUUCGAGGAGCAUUAAUGAAUAAAUGAAUGAAUAAAUACGUGCACAGCGCUGAUUGUAGAGGGGAGAAAUCAGAGGCUGGGAGCACUGUCAAAAGGCCUUUGUAAUAGUGAGAUAAAAUGACAUGGUGAUUGAUCACGUAUAGAAGGAAGGAAAUAAUAAAAACUGAUUUUCAGUUUAUUAUUAAACCUUUGGAGAAUGGCGAUGUUAAGUCUUUAGGAACAGGGGAAUUAGAUAAGGGAGCUGGAUUGAGGUGGGGAGAGGAGAUGUCAACGUUUGUGUAGGCAUGUUGAGAUUGAAGUGACAUUGGGACAUCCAGACGAACAGAGAGAAGGCAGCUACAGGAAGGAUGGAAGAUCAGGACAGAGGUCAGAGCUGGGGAUGGGGAUGCUGGAGUUCUCUUCUAGUAGGUGGUAUUUCCCGUGGGAGAAAAUUACAUACCUGAGGGAGGGAGUGCAAAGAGGAUAAAAAAAUGACAGAAAUAUGUGACUUGAUGAGAAACUGUUAAGUCCUUAUGUUGGGCUGAUAGAUUAGUCUGAAUAUGCUUCAGUGACAUAGAAAGCUAAAUUAGUUAUGGUACCAUUUCCACUGCUAUAUACCAAAUCCUAAUGAGCACUGUUUUAAAGUAGUUCUAUCUGCAAGCAAAAGAUGAAUCUUUAUGUGUGGUAUAGAGAUCCACCUAUUCAUUCACUCGCCCAUCACUCCAUGUCCAUCUCCAUCCAUCCGUCCAUCCAUCCAUCUACCCAUCCACUCUCCCACCCAUGAUCUCUCCAACAUUUAUGGAAUGGCUUUUCUAGAAUAGGCUAAGGAAGAGAGACCUUUUAGCGCUACUGAUAAUUCUUAACACCCAGUUGAUAUUAAAGUGAAACAAGUCUUGCCUGUUACUUUGGUCUGGGGUGGUGGGAGGGGCUUCUCUAUCCCUUUCUUCUUACUCUUUUCCUCUUUCCUCCUCUAUCUUCCCUCUUCUCUGCUUCUACUCCUCUCUGCUGGAGUUAAAUCACUGGCCCAUUCUAGCUCAGCUUUCUUAGGAGUUCAGGAUGAACUAUGUCCUUUCUUUGGUGGGGAUGAAGGUUGGGCCAGCUCAGUCUCCACCUCACCUGUGCCCUUGGUUCCUGUCCUACCACAUCAGCAAGGGAAGGUCAGGAUGCUCUGUGCCUACAGCAGGGUGGAAAACUUACAUCUUCCCUCCUUACAAGUCAUUUUAAGGAACCAGCCAUGAGGGGAAAUUCUGUUAGGGCCACAUUUGCAGUGUCUGCCCACAUGUGUGUCCCCGUAGCACCAGCUCCUCACCAUGUCUACUCCUUUUCCUUCUGCUUCAGACUGUACAAAAAUGUGAUGCCCCACAACCUGUGGUGCUUUUGUGGUGAUUUUCCCUUCUGUAACCACUUCUCCUUCUCAAGCCCUCCUGUUACCAGCUUAGUGUAGCUCCUGCCCAAGCCUGACCUUCUCAGAUGAUGCCUUGGUCUCCGGUCCAACCCCCCCAACAAAACAAAACUUAGGACAAAGUCAGUGACCCCAGAAUUCCAUUUUCUGGUGAUCCUUUGGAGUUGGCCGUCUGUUGGUUAGUCGGAGGGCAGAGGAGUGCGUCCUUACUUUAUAAAAGGAGUUUAUAGUGAGGUGCUUUGCCUUGAAGGGAUAAUAAGCGCUGUGGUUGGCUCAUGGGGAGAUAUUUUGGGUAGAGGCGCUUCCCAGAGCCCAUCCAGCCUCUCUGUGAUGUCUACUUUGGCAAGGCUGUUCUUUGGACAAGUCACAGUGGUUAACAGUGUGGACUUUUGAGUUGAACAGGUUGGAUUUGAGUCUAGCUUUGCCAGUUCCCAUCUGUGUGAACUUAGGUACCUUCUUUUACUUCUCUAAGCCUCUGUUUCCACAUUAGCAAAAUGCUGAUGGGACCUAUCUUGGAGGGCUGAUGUGAGGGUUAAAUGGGAUAGUAACAAUAGUGAUUUACCUACCAAUGUUUAGUGUGUACUGGGAACCAGUCUAACCGACCUCUAUGCGAAUUACAUCAUUUAAUCCUUGCAGCAACUGUAUCAUCCUCAUUUGGUAGCUGAGGAAGCUGAGGCUCAGAGGGGCUAAGUAACUUUCCCAAGGUCACAUAGUUAACAAGUGGAAGAAUAGUGGGUGACUCUGACUGUAUGAUUCUGUAGUCAUGCUCUUAACUAGUUCACCAUACCACCUCCCAGAUUAUGAGGGGUCAGCCCUUGACAUGUGGUUAGUACUCACUGUCAACCAUUAUCAUAUAAACAUUCCUCCUAAAGCCUAAAUUUAUUCAGUGCUAUUAUUCACUUACUCAUUCACUCACUCAGUUCCUAGAAUGUAAGCUUCAAGGGGGCAGGGAUGGGAUUUUUGCCUGUUUUAUUUACUAUAGCCUCCCCAGUGCCUAGAACAGCGCUUAGUAUAGAAUAGGCAUUCAAUAAAUUUGUAAACAAAUGCAUCCACUCAUUCAUCCAUCCAUCCAUGUGUCAACAAAGGUGUACUGAGCACCUACUGUGUGCCAGACUGUGUGCCAGGUGCUGGCAUAGGAUAGCAUCUCCAACCUUGGGGAGCUCAUAAUCUGGCAAGGGAAACAGAUUUGUGAACCAGUAACUCAGUUUCAGUAUGACGUAUCUAAGAGUGUUAACAAGUGCUCAGGUGAGUAAAGGGAGCAGCUCUCUUUUCUUUUGGGAUGCUGCCUAAUUUUCAUCAAGUGUUGCCACCUGAUAUCUCUCAAGCCAGCAAAUUGCUGUCUCUUAGAGUAAGUUUACAUUCAGCUGGAUGAGGUACACUUUCCUGCCAAAAGGAGGAGGAGGCAGGGGUCAGGCUCGAGGUGUUUUGCUGUGCAGGUUGUGCGCUCCACAACUCUGGGGGGGUGCCAUGAGUGUAGACUCUGAUGGGAAUGGUGCCAUCAUAGUUGUGCAAUGUGGCAGCCCUAUAAUAGCUGCCUUUAAGGUCAUCUUGGAAUCAUUUCACUAGGCUGGGAGAUUGGAGAUAAUUUAGAUAAAGCCUUUGAGGCCACUUCCCAAUGCAUUUUUCUUGGUCCCAUUGACCUAUGUGGGAGCCAGGGCACAGUCCAGUAAGCAGUUUGAUCCACUGGGAUCCCAUUGCUGUUUAAGCCUGGUUGAGCAUGGGCCACAUUGACGUCACCAGGGACAUGACUGUGACCUCCAGGUUUCUUAUGCAACCUUAGGCCCCUUUUAUUUCCACACACUCUCCACUCAGUGCUAUAUUGUGGCCUAACAGGGUAGGCCGUAAGUCCAGCCCUUGGAAACCUUGUGGUUGAAAUGAGCAGUUCUUCUUUCUUUUCUUUUCUUUUUUGGUGAGGAAGAUUGGCCCUGAGCUAACAUCUGUAGCCAAUCUUCCUCUUUUUGCUUCAGGACGAGUGGCCCUGAACUAAUAUCUGUGGUAAUCUUCCUCUAUUUUGUAUGUGGGAUGCCAUCACAGCAUGGCUUGAUGAGUGGUAUGUAGGUCUGUGCCCGGGGUCCAAACCUGUGAACCCUGGGCUGCUGAAGCAGAGCGUGUGAACUUAACCACUACGCCACCGGGACAACUCCUUGUCUUUUUUUAAAACAAGUUUCCUUAUGGUUUCCCAGGUCUCUCCUACUGGGGGUUAGGGGAAGCUUCUGAAACUCAUUACCCUGGGAUGGCAGGAACCCAGUGCCAGGGGGACGCUAAUAGAAGACUUUGGAAAACAGCAGUGCUUGCCCCCAAAGGGAGGAGGAUACUCUAGCGGUGGAGUUUAAGUCUUGCUAACUAGGCUGUGUCCCUUACAUUAGAGCCUAUAGACUCGCCCUGUUUCUGGGCUGGGGGCUCCUCUUAAGGUUUGUACGUGAUCCCUCCUUCCAGGAUCUAAUGCCACUAUACAAGGUUGGCCCUGUCCAUGGCAAAUUAAUUCCUGCCUUUUGUCUUGGGGAUUGUAAAGAAUGGGUCAGAAUUUCUGAGUAUGGUGGAAAAAUUAGAAAAUUGAGCUCUAGACUUGGCUGUGCCACUCAUUGGCCAUGUAAGUUUUGGGCAAGUCAGUUUCCCUUUCUGGGCCACAGUUUCUCCAUCUGUAAAUGAUAUCAUCAUAUCCCUUAGGAGGAAGUCCUCCUCCUAGAGCUCUUAUGAGGAUAAAACAAGAUAAUGGAUGAGAAGGCAUUUGAAGCAGUAUUUGUGCUUUAGGAAUGUGAGUACUGUUGCAUGUUUGCUGUUUCAACAUAGUUUAACUUGUGAUUUGGGACAUGUUAACAUCCAUAACCUUCACUUUUCCCAAAUGUAAAAUAUAUAUAAUUACACCUAUGUUGAAAGGUUUUAUAAUAAUAAUACAAAAAUGCCUACCUUGCUUUAAACAAGAUAAUGUCUGCUAUGUUGCUGGAAAUGACAGGCAUAGGCAGGGGUGGGAAUAUUGUAGAAUCUUCUCUCUUCACUGAAGGGAGAAGGGAGAGCUCUCUGCAGUGUCUGGGAACCAGGGAGUGGGGAGAGAGGCUGUUUCACUGCUAGUCUGAGAAACAGCGUCAGGACCACCCUUCCCCUAUCAGAUUGGAAUAAUGGGACUGGCUUCCUCCAAUAGACGGGACCUCCUGGAAGGCUGAGAGUCAGGCUCCCCUUCUCAGUCCGAGGGCGUCAGGUAAUCAGAUGUCACCUUUUUCCGCUGCAUCUCCCCAGUUACGACUCCCCCCAGUAAGGAGGAGAACUUACUCCUGGAACCCUAAGCAACUUGGGUGAGAGACUUCCAUCCAGGAACAAGAAUGUUCCAGCAGGGUAGGGGCUCAUCUGGAGCCUGGCUGGAGGCAUCCUGCUAGGGUUGCUGCAGUUGCUGCUGCCUGGGGCUGUUGAUAAGGGAAGAUGGUGGAGAUAGCAGGAUGCCUUCCUGUUAGUGCCUGCUAAUAACUGGGCGCAGAUAACACUGCCUGUCAGUUUCUAACCUGGAGUGUGACAAGACUGGCUUUGUGUGCCUCAAAUUAAUUCUGUAUGUGUCUGGCUCGUGCUGGUGGGGGGUAGAGGCAAGAGAGGAGAGGCUGGAGCAGGACUGUGAAACUGACAAAGACAGAUCUUGGGCGCUUUCCAAUUUCCUCUCUCCAUGGUUCUUUGCUCUUCAGCUACCCAGCACAUUUGGACUCCUCCACGGUGCCUUCCCUUGGGGGUUGACCUGGAGGAGGUGGGGCUGGGGUUACCUAUGGUUCUACGGCAUUAUCACCUAGGAUUCCAAGACAGGAAAGGUGAAGCUGCUUCUGCUCAGGGGCCACUGCCUGCUGGCUGACACGGACGGGGCUGCCACACUCCAGGCAGAUGGUGGCAGGACUAUAACAUCAUCAGUAACUGUGGGGAAAAAUCCUGCUCACAUUAUGGCUUAUCUUUUGGGGUCCUUGAGCCCUCAUCUUUUUUUGUUUCUCCUGGAAUGCAAGAAUCUGCAGAUAAAGCUUUUGUGGUGCUCAUACAAAUUGCUGAAAAUGACAUCAAGCACCUAGAGUGUGCAAAGCACUGUACUUGACACUUUUUCUAGUGAUGGUUCAAGCUUCACAGCAGACAUUAGAGGUACCUAUUUUUAUCCCAUUUUUACCGAUGAGAAAAAUUAGGCCCUGAAAAUGUAAGGAAUGUGCCCAGGGUCAUGCAGCUUAAGAGGUGCUGGACCGUAGUUUCAAAGCUGCCUCCUCCUUGCUCUGAUUCCUGGCUGGUUUUCUAAAACACCUUUGUAGGUGAACAAUGAAUUAUUAUAAGAGAUGGGCUGCCAUUUUAUGAGGCAGAAUGUUACAGUUCUGAAUCCAAACAUAUCAUCCUCUAGCCUUUUAGAAAAAAUUGUUCUGUAGCAGUAGUUAGAAAAUUGAACCCUAAGGUCCCAACAUGCCUACUGUGUUUCCUUGGCCUGAGAUCUCUGUUCCCAGAUGACACCCCAUUAUUUUGGUGCAAUCUCCAGCAAGUUUGCUCCCUUUCACCUCUGCCAUCUGAUCAACUUAUACUAAGCACUCCACUUUUUUUUGUUUUCUAAACUAUGCUCUCAGGCAGUUCUAAGAUGAGCCUUAACCACGAUGAUGGGGUGUGGUGGGGAUGGGAGCCCUCUGAGAAGAAAGGAUCAGGAUUUCUGGCAAGCAUGUGUAUUUUUUAAAAAGCUAAUUCAAUAUUAUAAUUACCUUGAUUUGUUUUAGUUAUACUUUAAAUUGUAGUGAAAAUGUUAAAUAUUACUAAAGGCAUGCAUAAAAUGUCUGCUUAUCAAAAACAAACACAAGUUAAAAUCUUGAGAAACAUAAUAACUGACAAUAAGGUGUGAAGGAUGAACAUAAAAUGUCUGACUUUCACAGGCUAUUUUAACAUAUGGCUGUGACAAAGGAAUGAGACUUCUACCAUGGGGCAGGCCAGUGAGAGAGAUGAGGGAGAGAAGCGUCUCCUCUGGGAAGCACCCCCAAAUCAUAGCCCGCAGAGCCCGCUGGGAGGUUUGAAAGAAUACCAGGGAGACUCGAGUCCUCAGUCCCCCUCUUGACCCUCCAGGUGGUAACUCUUUCUCCGCGAAUGCUGCUCAGAAAACUGCUGUCAGGUGCUAUGUUUGUGGUGGGGGUGGGGGUGGAGGUGAGAGGGUAGGUAAUGAAGAACAGAAGACCUUGUGUGGAAUAGAGAGAGAACCCAUUGAACCAUUUUCUUCUUAUUGUCCAGGAGGACCUGAUUGUGAGUCUAUAUAUUUUGAUUUAUAACUACUAUGUGGAAGAAGCAGGACUUGUGUGGGAAAGAGAACACCGCAUUACUUGCGUUUAGAUUUAAUUCAAUGGGGAGAUGGUUCUCUGCCUCUGGAGGAAAAUUCUGGUAGGCUCCAUGGCUGUUAUGCUCAUCCUUAGGAAAUAGAGUCCAAUGGACUCUAUCAGUUGUACAGACUCAACUUGGAAAUUAGAAUAUCCAGUCCAAAAUAUACAUUAAAAUGCUGAACUCAACUAACAUGAAAUAUUCCCCCGCCCCAGCCCUCUGAGAUUGGCCCUGCCUCACUCUGGAAGUCCUCAGGUGGGAAUGAAGACCUUGCCUUGUGCUUCUCCUCUGUCCAUCCCUCUUUGCUUGCUGCUCUUUUGAUCCACCAGGGAUUGGUGUGAGAAGAGGCGAGGGGAUAGGACAGUUGUCAUUGGCUGAAUGGCUGCAUUCUUUCUGGGUAGGCCUGGAAAAUGGUUCAAGAAAAGUCUUUCUCUGUUGAGGACUCCCUUUUUAGUUUCUUUGGGUCUGCCUGUUGGCUCCCUUUCCCUAUCUUGCUGGUCUAGGUAUUCCGUUGGGAUUCCUUCCUCGGCUCCUGGACAUUGGGUACACCUCCAGCCUCUUUUAGCUGAGGUCUCCUCAUCCUUACAGGUGCCUCUUCAGGGCCCACGAUGACCUCAUGGCAGUUUUCUUUCCUGGGUGGUGCACACGUCACUCACAGGGGGAGCUCCCACUUUCCUCAGAAGUACAGGCUUAUCCCAACACAGCAGCCUCUCUCAGCCCCCACCAAGCAGUUGCUCUUUUCUCAACUUCUACACUUCCUGGGCAGGAGUCAGGCCUCAGUCUACAGUCCUUGUGGUCUUCCUAGAGUGAGUCUGGUGCCAAUCCUUGGCAUCCCCCUGUUGUGGAAAUCAAGCCUCAGAGGUCCCGAGUGGCUGCCUUGAGCCCUUUUCUAGAGGAGUUGUUAGAGGCAGCAUGUCCUUACCCCUGAACAGAGAGUGGGGUGGGAAAUCACAGCCUACAACCCCUCUCUCCAAAGAAAUCUCUCAAUCAACAUCUCUUAAAAUCCUUCUCUAACCCGGUUUUGUAUCCUUAAUCUUGUUGAUGGGUCCACACAUCAUGGACCAGGUUCUCCUCCAUUCCCUUUAUACAUUCUUAAACUCGGCGUGUCUGCUUGGGAACUCUGCCUCGUGCUUCCUUUGAUAUCCUGAUAUCUGUGAUAUCCAUGGCACCUCCAUUAAAACUGUGGCAGAAAGUGCUGUUCUAAUAUCCUGUGCCUGAUGCGUCUGAAUCUGGCUGUCAUUCUUCAGAUUGACAGCUUUGCUGAGUGGGGACACGGGAGACUUGACAGUAAUUGAUGUGAGGAUACCCACCACACCAAACACAGAGCAGUGGAGUGUUGGGGUGGCACAGUUGAAAAGGGGAAAGGCAAGCAGUGUGGGGUAGGGGGUGGUAAGUGGAUGGAAGAAAGGGCACCUGAUGUCCCCCGUGGUGACAGAAUCCUUUGGCUGAGGCUUUGACCCCAUGUGAGCCGACUACACUCUCCUAGGAAUGGGAUAUAAUCCUUAGAUCCCCAACCCACAGGCUCUUGGCAAGGGCAUAGUGCGCACCUAGGAACAGGAGGCGCUUCCUGGGAUGCUAGUGCUUUGACUCAGGCUGGAGAACCUCCAAAGCAGUCCUCCAUUGUGGCCCUAACUUGGCCUUUUGUCAGCUCUUGGUGAAUUCUAUCACUGUGUCCUGUUGAAGGUGAGUAUAAAGAUAGGCUAAGCUGGCCAGUCUUCUGCAGCUCGUGAGGGCAGGGCCCAGGGACCAGUGCAGGUGCCUGACUCCUGGGGCUGACAAAUCCCAGGGGAUGUUCCCAUUGCCGAGAAAUGCCUCCUGCACUGCAGGCACUCUGCCUAGCAGAGAGCUCCACUCUGUCAGUAGAGUGAGGCCUCAAUAGGACUCUGAGGAGCUCAUAAACUCCUUUAUAACCUCCAUGCUUUGGUCUUUAGCCCUUUGCAGUGGAAAGCAGCACCAUGCAGGGUUAGGGACCCUACCCCUGGAGUGAGGUGACCUAGGUUUGAAACUCGAUCAUUUAAAUUGAAAACUGUAUUACCUUGGCAGGUGACUUUUUUCUGGGCCUAAGUUUUCCCAUGUGCAAUGUGGGAGUAAUUAGCACAUUAAUUAAUUGAUUAAUUAUAAUUAAUUGAGAUAAUCUGUAUAAACCACAUGGCACAUUCUAUCUCUCUAUAAGUAUUACUCUUGUAAAAUUAUUCUGUGAAAACCUCCAGAAAAAUAGUACUUGGUACUCACAAACACUCAACUGCUCCUGAACUCAUUUUUUAUUGGCCUCAUAUCUUCUCCUUUUUGCCUCCCUACAUCUCUCUCCAUUUUGGCAUGUAAAAUUAUUGCCAAGUGAGUUAUUUGAAAUGAAAAUAUUUAAAAUAUUUGAACUCUUAAAUUUAAAAAUGUACCUGUGUUUAUUUACCAAAAUGACCAACAAAAGAGGCCGGUCUGGUGGCGUAGUGGUUAAGUUCGCGCGCUGCUUCAACAGCCCUGGGUUUGCCAGUUUGGAUCCCAGGCGUGGACCCAUGCACUGCUCAUCAAGCCAUGCUGUGCCAGGUGUCCCACAUAUAAAGCAGAGGAAGAGGGGCAGAGAUGUUAGCUCAGGGCUAAUCUUCCUCAAAAAAACCAAAAACACAAAACAGCAACAAACACACACACCACUCCACGGGCAACCUAAGUAGUGGGAGAAUCUGUCUUGUGGACAGAACCUUAACUUGUCAGUCAACCACAGAAUGAGUAAUAUUCAUGCUCCUGUGGUAUUAGCAUGAGAUCCUGUUCCAUUGGAGUGUGGGUGUUCUGUCUGUCUUAGAACUGCAUUUCCCUAAAAGCAGCCUGGAUUAGUAAGCAAGGGGCGGUGAGUAGGGACCCUGCUGAACUGGGCAAUCCGGUUGAGAAACCAUGUUUGAUUCCCAACUUCUCUCUCCCCACACCACCAGUCCUGUCUACCAUCUCGUUAAUAUUUAUGGUUGCAGUUUGCUGCUUCAGUAGAAAAAGCCAGAAGUGCUCAUGGAUUGUCUCA
rnacentral:lncRNA from 1 species